rnacentral:rRNA from 1 species
UUGAACGCUGGCGGCAGGCUUCACACAUGCAAGUCGAACGGUAACAUAAAGGAGCUUGCUUCUUUGAUGACGAGUGGCGGACGGGUGAGUAAUGCUUGGGAAUCUAGCUUAUGGAGGGGGAUAACUACGGGAAACUGUAGCUAAUACCGCGUAGAAUCGGGAGAUGAAAGUGUGGGACCUUCGGGCCACAUGCCAUAGGAUGAGCCCAAGUGGGAUUAGGUAGUUGGUGAGGUAAAGGCUCACCAAGCCGACGAUCUCUAGCUGGUCUGAGAGGAUGACCAGCCACACUGGGACUGAGACACGGCCCAGACUCCUACGGGAGGCAGCAGUGGGGAAUAUUGCGCAAUGGGGGCAACCCUGACGCAGCCAUGCCGCGUGAAUGAAGAAGGCCUUCGGGUUGUAAAGUUCUUUCGGUAGCGAGGAAGGCAUUUAGUUUAAUAGACUAGGUGAUUGACGUUAACUACAGAAGAAGCACCGGCUAACUCCGUG